rnacentral:rRNA from 1 species
UAAGUGGAGGAAAAGAAACUAACAAGGAUUCCCCUAGUAACGGCGAGUGAAGCGGGAAGAGCUCAAAUUUAAAAUCUGGCAGUCUACGAUUGUCCGAAUUGUAAUCUCGAGAAGUGUUUUCCGCGUUGGCCUGUGCACAAGUCCCUUGGAACAGGGCGUCAUAGAGGGUGAGAAUCCCGUCCUUGGCACAGAUACCCAAUGCUUUGUGAUACACUCUCAAUGAGUCGAGUUGUUUGGGAAUGCAGCUCAAAAUGGGAGGUAAAUUCCUUCUAAAGCUAAAUACUGGCGAGAGACCGAUAGCGAACAAGUACCGUGAGGGAAAGAUGAAAAGCACUUUGGAAAGAGAGUCAAACAGUACGUGAAAUUGUUGAAAGGGAAACGAUUGAAGUCAGUCGUGCCUGCCUAGAUUCAGCCUUCUGGUGUAUUUCUAGGUCGGCAGGUCAGCAUCAGUUUGGGAGGGUUAACAAGGGGAUUAGGAAUGUGGCAACCUCGGUUGUGUUAUAGCCUAGUUUCGUAUUGAUCUUGCUGGACUGAGGAACGCAGUGCGCCCGCAAGGGUAGGUCUUCGGACACUUUCGCACUUAGGAUGCUGGCAUAAUGGCUUUAACCGACCCGUCUUGAAACACG